GUCUUUUCACAGUUUUGGUCCAUGCAAACAAGAUGGCUGCCACCUCGUGGUCAUCCAUAGGAAUUGCGGCCAGCCAGACGAACACUUAGACCACAGAGGUGUAAAUUGCAAUCAUUUAUCCAUUAAACUUAACAAGUUCCAGGGUGGUCUCCGGUUCGUGUGGCUGUUUGGUAAACUAACCAUAUGGUCCCAAUUGCACGAACAGAGCCUGUUAUAAGUCCAAGAUGCAC